GAUGAAGAACGUAGUGAAAUGCGAUAAGUAAUGUGAAUUGCAGAAUUCAGUGAAUCAUCGAAUCUUUGAACGCACAUUGCGCCCGCCAGUAUUCUGGCGGGCAUGCCUGUCCGAGCGUCAUUUCAACCAUCAAGCCCCGGGCUUGUGUUGGGGACCUGCGUCCGACGCAGGCCCCGAAAACCAGUGGCGGGCUCGCUGUCCACACCGAGCGUAGUAGCUAACCUCGCUCCGGAGUGGCGCGGGCGCCUGCCGUAAAACCCCCCCAAUUUUACAAGGUUGACCUCGGAUCAGGUAGGAAUACCCGCUGAACUUAAGCAUAUCAUAAGCGGAGGA
rnacentral:misc_RNA from 1 species